rnacentral:rRNA from 1 species
UUGAACGCUGGCGGCGGCUUAACACAUGCAAGUCGAGCGGAGUGGCGAACGGGUGAGUAACGCGUGAGCAACCUGCCUAUGACAGUGGGAUAGCCUCGGGAAACCGGGAUUAAUACCGCAUAGUCAUAGAUGGGCUCGCGUCUGAUUAGCUAGUUGGUUCGAUAACAGCCCACCAAGGCGACGAGCAGUAGCCGGUCUGAGAGGAGGAACGGCCACAGUGGAACGGAGACACGGUACAAACUCCUACGGGAUGCAGCAGGGGGGAAUAGUGCACAAUGGGGGAAACCCUGAUGCAGCGACGCCGCGUGAACGAAGAAGGUAUUCGUAUCGUAAAGUUCUGUCCUAUGGGAAGCAGUACCAUAGAAGAAAGCUCCGGCUAAAUACGUGCCAGCAGCCGCGGUAAUAC